rnacentral:rRNA from 1 species
CGAACGACCUCGGGCUUGCCCGGGGAAGUUAGUGGCGAACGGCUGAGUAACGCGUAGGUGACCUGCCCAGAAGUGGGGAAUAACUGCCCGAAAGGGUGGCUAAUACCGCAUGUGGUCAUGAGUUCAUUCUCAUGUCCAAAGCCUUCGGGCGCUACUGGAGGGGCCUGCGUUCGAUUAGCUCGUUGGUGGGGUAACGGCUUACCAAGGCGACGAUCGAUAGGUGGUCUGAGAGGAUGAUCACCCAGACUGGGACUGAGACACGGCCCAGACUCCUACGGGAGGCAGCAGUCGGGAAUUUUGCUCAAUGGGGGAAACCCUGAAGCAGCAACGCCGCGUGAGGGAUGACGGCCUUCGGGUUGUAAACCUCUUUUGUCAGGGACGUUAAUGACGGUACCUGAAGAAUAAGCCACGGCUAACUACGUGCCAGCAGCCGCGGUAAUACGUAGGUGGCAAGCGUUGUCCGGAUUUACUGGGCGUAAAGAGCGCGCAGGCGGCCAAGUCAGUCGAAUGUGAAAGCCCCCGGCUCAACUGGGGAAGGUCGUUCGAUACUGCUUGGCUCGAAGGUAGGAGAGGGAAGUGGAAUUUCAGGUGUAGUGGUGAAAUGCGUAGAUAUCUGAAGGAACACCAGUGGCGAAGGCGACUUUCUGGCCUAUUCUUGACGCUGAGGCGCGAAAGCUAGGGGAGCGAACGGGAUUAGAUACCCCGGUAGUCCUAGCCGUAAACGAUGAACACUAGAUGUUGGUGGUAUCAACCCCGCCAGUGUCGCAGCUAACGCAUUAAGUGUUCCGCCUGGGGAGUACGGCCGCAAGGCUAAAACUCAAAGGAAUUGACGGGGGCCCGCACAAGCAGCGGAGCGUGGGGUUUAAUUCGACGCAACGCGAAGAACCUUACCAGGCUUGACAUGACCAGGAAUCCGGCGGAACGUCGCGCCUCGCAAGAGCUGGCACAGUGUUGCAUGCUGUCGUCAGCUCGUGUCGUGAGAUGUUGGGUAAGUCCCGCACGAGCGCAACCCCUACU